rnacentral:rRNA from 1 species
GAUGAACGCUGACAGAAUGCCUAACACAUGCAAGUCUUUGGCGAAGCUGUGCUUGCACAGCCUAGCCAAGGCGGACGGGUGAGUAACGCGUAAGGAACUUGCCCUGCAGUCAGGGAUAACAGACGGAAACGACUGAUAAGACCUGGUAAAGUCAGGCGGACUCAUGUCCAGCCUGAUGAAAAGAGAUGCUGCAGGAGAGCCUUGCGUCCUAUUAGCUUGUUGGUGGGGUAACGGCCCACCAAGGCAAUGAUAGGUAGCCGGCCUGAGAGGGUGGACGGCCACAAGGGGACUGAGAUACGGCCCUUACUCCUACGGGAGGCAGCAGUGGGGAAUAUUGGACAAUGGGGGCAACCCUGAUCCAGCAAUUCUGUGUGCACGAUGAAGGUUUUCGGAUUGUAAAGUGCUUUCAGCAGGGAAGAAAAAAAUGACGGUACCUGCAGAAGAAGCGACGGCUAAAUACGUGCCAGCAGCCGCGGUAAUACGUAUGUCGCAAGCGUUAUCCGGAAUUAUUGGGCAUAAAGGGCAUCUAGGCGGCCAGAUAAGUCUGGGGUGAAAACUUGCGGCUCAACCGCAAGCCUGCCCUGGAAACUAUGUGGCUAGAGUACUGGAGAGGUGGACGGAACUGCACGAGUAGAGGUGAAAUUCGUAGAUAUGUGCAGGAAUGCCGAUGAUGAAGAUAGUUCACUGGACGGUAACUGACGCUGAAGUGCGAAAGCUAGGGGAGCAAACAGG